rnacentral:rRNA from 1 species
UUAAUUGUUGGCCGGUAUGAAUGGCGUCACGAAGGCCCCACUGUCUUAAGAAAAUUCCCAGUGAAAUUGAAUUCGUAGUGAAGAUGCUACGCCCAAAUUGUUAGACGAAAAGACCCCAUUGAGCUUUACUGGAGACUUAUAUGGCUCGAACUUAAAUAAAUAGUUUAGAUUAUGUGGUGUUAACCGUUUAGGCUAAUGAAACCCCACUCUUUUAUUUUAAGAGAGCUAACCCCCUCAGAGGGCUUAAGGAACAAUGUAAGUUGGACAGUUUGGUUGGGGCGACCGCCUUUUAAAGAGUAACGAAGGUGAGCUUAAGGCACAUGAUUAAUAGCAAUGGCCUGACUGCGAGGGAUACGUUCCGAGCAGACACCUAACCGGUGGGCUAUAGUGACCCGUUAAUUUAGAGUGGAAUAGUUAACGAUCAA